UACGUAGGGCGCAAGCGUUGUCCGGAAUUAUUGGGCGUAAAGAGCUCGUAGGCGGCUUGUCACGUCGGAUGUGAAAGCCCGGGGCUUAACUCCGGGUCUGCAUUCGAUACGGGCUAGCUAGAGUGUGGUAGGGGAGAUCGGAAUUCCUGGUGUAGCGGUGAAAUGCGCAGAUAUCAGGAGGAGCACCGAUGGCGAAGGCAGGUCUCUGGGCAUUAACUGACGCUGAGGAGCGAAAGCAUGGGGAGCGAACAGG
rnacentral:rRNA from 1 species